UUGGGAGUAGCCAUAUAGCCUAUU
rnacentral:siRNA from 1 species